rnacentral:rRNA from 1 species
CCCGGGGAAACUCGGGCUAAUCCGCAUACGUCUCCCUGGCGACAGGGGGGGAAAGCGGGGGACCUUCGGGCCUCGCGCUAUCAGAUGAGCCUAAGUCCGAUUAGCUAGUUGGUAGGGUAACGGCCUACCAAGGCGACGAUCGGUAGCUGGUCUGAGAGGCGACCAGCCACACUGGGACUGAGACCGGCCCAGACUCCUACGGGAGGCAGCAGUGGGGAAUAUUGGACAAUGGGCGAAAGCCUGAUCCAGCGAUGCCGCGUGUGUGAAGAAGGCCUGCGGGUUGUAAAGCACUUUCAGUAGGGAAGAAAAGCCGUAGUGCCAAUACCACUCGGUCUUGACGU